UGCAAGUCGUACGGUAGCACACAUAGCUUGCUCUCGGGUGACGAGUGGCGGACGGGUGAGUAAUGUCUGGGAAACUGCCUGAUGGAGGGGGAUAACUACUGGAAACGGUAGCUAAUACCGCAUAACGUCGCAAGACCAAAGAGGGGGACCUUCGGGCCUCUUGCCAUCAGAUGUGCCCAGAUGGGAUUAGCUAGUAGGUGGGGUAACGGCUCACCUAGGCGACGAUCCCUAGCUGGUCUGAGAGGAUGACCAGCCACACUGGAACUGAGACACGGUCCAGACUCCUACGGGAGGCAGCAGUGGGGAAUAUUGCACAAUGGGCGCAAGCCUGAUGCAGCCAUGCCGCGUGUAUGAAGAAGGCCUUCGGGUUGUAAAGUACUUUCAGCGGGGAGGAAGGGUGUUGUGGUUAAUAACCGCAGCAAUUGACGUUACCCGCAGAAGAAGCACCGGCUAACUCCGUGCCAGCAGCCGCGGUAAUACGGAGGGUGCAAGCGUUAAUCGGAAUUACUGGGCGUAAAGCGCACGCAGGCGGUCUGUCAAGUCGGAUGUGAAAUCCCCGGGCUCAACCUGGGAACUGCAUUCAAAACUGGCAGGCUAGAGUCUUGUAAA
rnacentral:rRNA from 1 species